CAAGUAAUUAAGUGCAUGUGGUGGAUGCCUUGGCAGUCAGAGGCGAUGAAAGACGUGAUAGCCUGCGAAAAGCUCCGGGGAGGCGGCAAAUAUCCUUUGAUCCGGAGAUGUCUGAAUGGGGGAACCCACCUACUUUAAGGUAGGUAUUGCAACAUGAAUACAUAGUGUUGCAAGGCGAACGAGGGGAAGUGAAACAUCUCAGUACCCUUAGGAAAAGAAAUCAAUUGAGAUUCCCUCAGUAGCGGCGAGCGAACGGGGAUCAGCCCAUUAAGUUAUGUGUGUUUUAGUGGAACGCUCUGGGAAGUGCGAACGUAGAGGGUGAUAUUCCCGUACACGAAAGGGCACACAUAAUGAUGACGAGUAGGGCGAGGCACGUGAAACCUUGUCUGAAUAUGGGGGGACCAUCCUCCAAGGCUAAAUACUCCUGACUGACCGAUAGUGAACCAGUACCGUGAGGGAAAGGCGAAAAGAACCCCUGUGAGGGGAGUGAAAUAGAUCCUGAAACCGCAUGCAUACAAGCAGUGGGAGCACCUUCGUGGUGUGACUGCGUACCUUUUGUAUAAUGGGUCAGCGACUUAUAUUCAGUAGCGAGGUUAACCGUAUAGGGGAGCCGUAGAGAAAUCGAGUCUUAAUAGGGCGUUUAGUUGCUGGGUAUAGACCCGAAACCAGGCGAUCUAUCCAUGAGCAGGUUGAAGGUUGGGUAACACUAACUGGAGGACCGAACCCACUGUCGUUGAAAAGCCAGGGGAUGACUUGUGGAUAGGGGUGAAAGGCUAAUCAAGCCUGGUGAUAGCUGGUUCUCCCCGAAAGCUAUUUAGGUAGCGCCUCGGACGAAUACCAUAGGGGGUAGAGCACUGUUUCGGCUAGGGGGUCAUCCCGACUUACCAAACCGAUGCAAACUCCGAAUACCUAUGAGUACUAUCCGGGAGACAGACUGCGGGUGCUAACGUCCGUAGUCAAGAGGAAAACAAUCCAGACCGCCAGCUAAGGCCCCAAAAUCAUAGUUAAGUGGGAAACGAUGUGGGAAGGCAUAGACAGCUAGGAGGUUGGCUUAGAAGCAGCCACCCUUUAAAGAAAGCGUAAUAGCUCACUAGUCGAGUCGGCCUGCGCGGAAGAUGUAACGGGGCUAAAACUAUGUGCCGAAGCUGCGGAUGUAUACUUUGUAUACGUGGUAGGGGAGCGUUCUGUAAGCCGAUGAAGGUGUGUUGAGAAGCAUGCUGGAGGUAUCAGAAGUGCGAAUGCUGACGUGAGUAACGACAAAACGGGUGAAAAACCCGUUCGCCGAAAGACCAAGGGUUCCAGUCCAACGUUAAUCGGGGCUGGGUGAGUCGACCCCUAAGGCGAGGCCGAAAGGCGUAGUCGAUGGGAAAAUGGUUAAUAUUCCAUUACUUCUGUGUAAUGCGAUGAGAGGACGGAGAAGGCUAAAUCAGCCUGGCGUUGGUUGUCCAGGUGAAAGGAUGUAGGCAUGUAUCUUAGGCAAAUCCGGGGUACUCUAUGCUGAGAUCUGAUAGCAAGCUGUACUUGUACAGCGAAGUGGUUGAUGCCAUGCUUCCAGGAAAAGUCUCUAAGCUUCAGUUACACAGGAAUCGUACCCGAAACCGACACAGGUGGUCAGGUCGAGUAGACCAAGGCGCUUGAGAGAACUCUGCUGAAGGAACUAGGCAAAAUGGUACCGUAACUUCGGGAGAAGGUACGCUGUUGUUGGUGAUGGAACUCGCUUCCUGAGCUGACGACAGCCGCAGAAACCAGGCCGCUGCAACUGUUUAUUAAAAACAUAGCACUCUGCAAACACGAAAGUGGACGUAUAGGGUGUGAUGCCUGCCCGGUGCUGGAAGGUUAAUUGAUGGGGUUAGCGUAAGCGAAGCUCUUGAUCGAAGCCCCAGUAAACGGCGGCCGUAACUAUAACGGUCCUAAGGUAGCGAAAUUCCUUGUCGGGUAAGUUCCGACCUGCACGAAUGGCAUAAUGAUGGCGGCGCUGUCUCCAGCAGAGGCUCAGUGAAAUCGAAAUCGCUGUGAAGAUGCAGUGUACCCGCGGCUAGACGGAAAGACCCCGUGAACCUUUACUGCAGCUUGACACUGAACUUUGACCUUACUUGUGUAGGAUAGGUGGGAGGCUUUGAAGCUGGAACGCUAGUUCCAGUGGAGCCGUCCUUGAAAUACCACCCUGGUAAUGUUGAGGUUCUAACUCUGUCCCGUGAUCCGGGACGAGGACCGUGUCUGGUGGGUAGUUUGACUGGGGCGGUCUCCUCCUAAAGAGUAACGGAGGAGUACGAAGGUGCGCUCAGCGUGGUCGGAAAUCACGCGUAGAGUAUAAAGGCAAAAGCGCGCUUAACUGCGAGACCCACAAGUCGAGCAGGUACGAAAGUAGGUCUUAGUGAUCCGGUGGUUCUGUAUGGAAGGGCCAUCGCUCAACGGAUAAAAGGUACUCUGGGGAUAACAGGCUGAUACCGCCCAAGAGUUCAUAUCGACGGCGGUGUUUGGCACCUCGAUGUCGGCUCAUCUCAUCCUGGGGCUGAAGCAGGUCCCAAGGGUAUGGCUGUUCGCCAUUUAAAGAGGUACGCGAGCUGGGUUUAGAACGUCGUGAGACAGUUCGGUCCCUAUCUACCGUGGGCGCUGGAAAUUUGAGAGGAUCUGCUCCUAGUACGAGAGGACCAGAGUGGACGAACCUCUGGUGUACCGGUUGUGACGCCAGUCGCAUCGCCGGGUAGCUAUGUUCGGAAGGGAUAACCGCUGAAAGCAUCUAAGCGGGAAGCCUACCUCAAGAUAAGAUUUUCCUAGGACUUUAUGUCCUCUAAAGAGCCGUUCGAGACUAGGACGUUGAUAGGUUGGAUGUGGAAGCAUAGUGAUAUGUGAAGCUGACCAAUACUAAUUGCUCGUGAGGCUUGACUA
rnacentral:rRNA from 1 species